rnacentral:rRNA from 1 species
AUUGAACGCUGGCGGCAGGCCUAACACAUGCAAGUCGAGCGGAUGAAGGGAGCUUGCUCCUGGAUUCAGCGGCGGACGGGUGAGUAAUGCCUAGGAAUCUGCCUGGUAGUGGGGGAUAACGUCCGGAAACGGGCGCUAAUACCGCAUACUUCCUGAGGGAGAAAGUGGGGGAGCUUCGGACCUCACGCUAGCAGAGGAGCCUAGGUCGGAUUAGCUAGUUGGUGGGGUAAAUGCCUACCAAGGCGACGAUCCGUAACUGGUCUGAGAGGAUGAUCAGUCACACUGGAACUGAGACACGGUCCAGACUCCUACGGGAGGCAGCAGUGGGGAAUAUUGGACAAUGGGCGAAAGCCUGAUCCAGCCAUGCCGCGUGUGUGAAGAAGGUCUUCGGAUUGUAAAGCACUUUAAGUUGGGAGGAAGGGCAGUAAGUUAAUACCUUGCUGUUUUGACGUUACCAACAGAAUAAGCACCGGCUAACUUCGUG